rnacentral:rRNA from 1 species
UACAGAGGGGGCAAGCGUUAUUCGGAAUUAUUGGGCGUAAAGAGCUCGUAGGCGGCCUGUCGCGUCGACCGUGAAAACCCGCAGCUCAACUGCGGGCUUGCGGUCGAUACGGGCAGGCUGGAGUUCGGUAGGGGAGACUGGAAUUCCUGGUGUAGCGGUGAAAUGCGCAGAUAUCAGGAGGAACACCGGUGGCGAAGGCGGGUCUCUGGGCAAUUCCUGACGCUGAGGCGCGAAAGCGUGGGGAGCAAACGGG